GCGGGAAUGCCGGAACGUGGUAGACGACCCGGGCUCAAACCCCGGUGGGCCCCUGGCCCGUGCGGGUUCGAAUCCCGCUUCCCGCA
rnacentral:tRNA from 1 species